UACGUAGGGUGCAAGCGUUAAUCGGAAUUACUGGGCGUAAAGCGUGCGCAGGCGGUUUUGUAAGUUUGUCGUGAAAGCCCCGGGCUCAACCUGGGAAUUGCGAUGGAGACUGCAAGGCUUGAAUCUGGCAGAGGGGGGUAGAAUUCCACGUGUAGCAGUGAAAUGCGUAGAGAUGUGGAGGAACACCGAUGGCGAAGGCAGCCCCCUGGGUCAAGAUUGACGCUCAUGCACGAAAGCGUGGGGAGCGAACAGG
rnacentral:rRNA from 1 species